UAAGUUCGGAUAAGAAUUAAAAGGGAAGCAGGUGCAAGUCCUGCACAACAGCCAUUACUGUAAUUAAGGUGAAUGUCUGCAAGUGCCAUUGGUUUUUAGCUGAGAAGGUGCAGUGCAAAAGUAUUUUGGGAAAAUCCCGGUUACUUGCCUUAUAAGUCAGGAGACCUGCCUCUUUCUAU
rnacentral:ncRNA from 1 species